GACGAACGCUGGCGGCGUGCUUAACACAUGCAAGUCGAACGGAAAGGCCCUGCUUUUGUGGGGUGCUCGAGUGGCGAACGGGUGAGUAACACGUGAGUAACCUGCCCUUGACUUUGGGAUAACUUCAGGAAACUGGGGCUAAUACCGGAUAGGAGCUCCUGCUGCAUGGUGGGGGUUGGAAAGUUUCGGCGGUUGGGGAUGGACUCGCGGCUUAUCAGCUUGCUGGUGGGGUAGUGGCUUACCAAGGCUUCGACGGGUAGCCGGCCUGAGAGGGUGACCGGCCACAAUGGGACUGAGAUACGGACCAGACUGCUACGGGGGGCAGCAGUGGGGAAUAUUGCACAAUGGGCGGAAGCCUGAUGCAGCAACGCCGCGUGCGGGAUGACGGCCUUCGGGUUGUAAACCGCUUUCGCCUGUGACGAAGCGUGAGUGACGGUAAUGGGUAAAGAAGCACCGGCUAACUACGUG
rnacentral:rRNA from 1 species